rnacentral:rRNA from 1 species
UACGAGGGGAGCAAGCGUUGUUCGGAAUCAUUGGGCGUAAAGGGCGCGUAGGCGGCCUGCACAAGUCCAGGGUGAAAGCCCUCGGCUCAACCGAGGAAGGGCCUUGGAAACUGUGCGGCUUGAGUAUUGGAGAGGAAGGCGGAAUUCCCAGUGUAGCGGUGAAAUGCGUAGAUAUUGGGAGGAACACCUGUGGCGAAGGCGGCUUUCUGGACAAUCACUGACGCUGAGGCGCGAAAGCUAGGGGAGCAAACGGG